rnacentral:rRNA from 1 species
AUCACCAAAAUUAACUUAACACCAUAAAUAGUUUAGCAUUAAUUAAACCGAAGAAUUAAAUCAUUUUUCCACCUUAGUACGGGAGACGGAAAAGGUAAUUUUAAGCAAUAGAGAAAGUACCGCAAGGGAAAGCUGAAAGAGUAAUGAAACAAUUCAUAUAAGCACAAAAAAGCAGAGACUAACCCUCGUACCUUUUGCAUCAUGAUUUAGCCAGCACCACACAAGCAAAGUGACCUUUAGUUUGAAGCCCCGAAACCAAGUGAGCUACCCCGGGACAGCCUAUUUGGGCGAACCCGUCUCUGUGGCAAAAGAGUGGGAAGAGCCCCGGGUAGAGGUGAUAAACCUACCGAACUUGGUGAUAGCUGGUUGCCUAAGAAAUGAAUAGAAGUUCAGCCUCGUACCCCUUUAGCCAAUUAGGAAAUAUCUAAGUAAGCACAAAAGAGAAAUACGAGAGUUAGUUAAAGGGGGUACAGCCCCUUUAAUAAAGGACACAACCUUAAAUAGGAGGAUAAGAGUCACAUUUUAUAAAACUAGUCGUUCCAGUGGGCCUAAAAGCAGCCAUCUGAGUAGAAAGCGUUAAAGCUCAAACGACAUACAGUUUAUUAUACUGAUAAAUAGCCCAAUUCCCCUAGAAGUAUUAGGCCGUUCCAUGCCACCAUGGAAGAGACCAUGCUAGAAUGAGUAAUAAGAGGGCAUGACCCUCUCCUGGCACAAGUGUAAACCAGAUCGGACAGACCACUGGAAAUUAACGAACCCAUAAAAAGAGGGUAGUGUGUUCACUAAAGAAUUCGAGAAAAUAACACAAUAACUAUAUCGUUAAACCCACACUGGAGUGCCGUCAAGGAAAGACUAAAAGAAAGGGAAGGAACUCGGCAAACACAAGCCUCGCCUGUUUACCAAAAACAUCGCCUCCUGCAAACCCCUACGUAUAGGAGGUCCAGCCUGCCCGGUGACUACAAGUUUAACGGCCGCGGUAUUUUGACCGUGCAAAGGUAGCGCAAUCACUUGUCUUUUAAAUGAAGACCUGUAUGAAUGGCUAAACGAGGGCUUAACUGUCUCCCCUUUCAGGUCAGUGAAAUUGAUCUACCCGUGCAG